GAUGAACGCUGGCGGCGUGCCUAAUACAUGCAAGUCGAGCGAACAGACGAGGAGCUUGCUCCUCUGACGUUAGCGGCGGACGGGUGAGUAACACGUGGAUAACCUACCUAUAAGACUGGGAUAACUUCGGGAAACCGGAGCUAAUACCGGAUAACAUGUUGAACCGCAUGGUUCAACAGUGAAAGACGGUCUUGCUGUCACUUAUAGAUGGAUCCGCGCCGCAUUAGCUAGUUGGUAAGGUAACGGCUUACCAAGGCAACGAUGCGUAGCCGACCUGAGAGGGUGAUCGGCCACACUGGAACUGAGACACGGUCCAGACUCCUACGGGAGGCAGCAGUAGGGAAUCUUCCGCAAUGGGCGAAAGCCUGACGGAGCAACGCCGCGUGAGUGAAGAAGGUCUUCGGAUCGUAAAACUCUGUUAUUAGGGAAGAACAAAUGUGUAAGUAACUAUGCAUGUCUUGACGGUACCUAAUCAGAAAGCCACGGCUAACUACGUG
rnacentral:rRNA from 1 species